GUCAGUUGGUACUAUUAUUAUCCUCUCAAACAGAAGAGAAAACUGAGGCACAGCCGUCCAGACAACACCCCAGCAGCCUGAAGCUAUGACAUGACACUGGUCCCUGGAAAGGCCCUUCCUGAGCAAGGUCCAGAGAAGGGCAGGAGGCUGCCCGAGAUCACACAGCCAUGUGCCCUGGAGUGGGAGCUGCACCUGCCUGCAGAAAAGGGGCCCCUUUCGCUAAUUCAUCCAUUCAGUUCACACAAAGGUGCCCACCAUGCCAGUGAUGACUCUACAGAGAGAGCUGAGUUCAAGUCCCAGCCCUGCCACCGGCUGGCUCAGGAUGGAAUCAGGUCUCACGCAGACCCAUGUCCUUGUCUGCCCAGCUUGGGUUUGCUGUGGCCCGGAGUGCCUGUUGGGGUUGGGAGGACUUA
rnacentral:lncRNA from 1 species